CCUACGGGAGGCAGCAGUAGGGAAUCUUCCACAAUGGGCGAAAGCCUGAUGGAGCAACGCCGCGUGGGUGAAGAAGGUCUUCGGAUCGUAAAACCCUGUUGUUAGAGAAGAAAGUGCGUGAGAGUAACUGUUCACGUUUCGACGGUAUCUAACCAGAAAGCCACGGCUAACUACGUGCCAGCAGCCGCGGUAAUACGUAGGUGGCAAGCGUUAUCCGGAUUUAUUGGGCGUAAAGGGAACGCAGGCGGUCUUUUAAGUCUGAUGUGAAAGCCUUCGGCUUAACCGGAGUAGUGCAUUGGAAACUGGGAGACGUGAGUGCAGAAGAGGAGAGUGGAACUCCAUGUGUAGCGGUGAAAUGCGUAGAUAUAUGGAAGAACACCAGUGGCGAAAGCGGCUCUCUGGUCUGUAACUGACGCUGAGGUUCGAAAGCGUGGGUAGCAAACAGGAUUAGAUACCCCGGUGUC
rnacentral:rRNA from 1 species